UCGGGAAUAGCGGCAUAAUGCUGUAAUUUCGAUCGUAUUAUGCUGUUAUUCACGAGA
rnacentral:pre_miRNA from 1 species